rnacentral:rRNA from 1 species
UACGGGGGGAGCAAGCGUUGUUCGGAUUUACUGGGCGUAAAGGGCGCGUAGGCGGCCACCGCAAGUCGGUUGUGAAAUCUCUGGGCUUAACCCAGAAAGGUCAACCGAUACUGCGGGGCUAGAGUGCAGAAGGGGCAACUGGAAUUCUCGGUGUAGCGGUGAAAUGCGUAGAUAUUGGGAGGGACACCAGUGGCGAAGGCGGCUCGCUGGACCGGUUCUGACGCUGAUGCGCGAAAGCGUGGGGAGCAAACGGG